GAAGGCCAUGUUUGGUUUACUAUGGAAAUGAGGGGAAUGCAAGAAAUAGGAUUACAUUUUCUUGUUUUGUUCACAAAUGAUCCAAAAUUUGUAUGAUAUUUUUAUAUUCGAAUAACUUGAAUUUAAGAUUAUGAAGUAUAAUUUUUAAGGUUAUUAAUAAAUUGUGUUUAGUUAUUUCAAAAAUAAAAUUGGAAUAGGAUUCUUGAGAUCUAAACAUCCAUUUCCAUUCCCAUUUCAUUUCCAAGGAAAACUAAACAUGCGAGGAGAAAAAAAAAAUC
rnacentral:misc_RNA from 1 species